UACGAGGGGGGCAAAUGUUGUUCGGAAUCACUGGGCGUAAAGGGAGCGUAGGCGGGCUUCUAAGUUAGGUGUUUAAUCCCAGGGCCCAACCCUGGUCAGGCACCUAAAACUGGGAGUCUUGAAUAGUGGAGAGGUCAGUGGAAUUGGGGGUGUAGCGGUGGAAUGCGUAGAGAUCCCCAAGAACACCAGUUGCGAAGGCGGCUGACUGGACACAUAUUGACGCUGAGGCUCGAAAGCAUGGGGAGCAAACAGG
rnacentral:rRNA from 1 species